rnacentral:lncRNA from 1 species
GCCAGCCCCACGCCCCAAGGCUAUAGCCCACCCGUUUUUGUGGCCUUUUUCCGCUCGACGAACUUGGCGCCCCAGCCUUCGGGCGGUUAUUUUUUGGCGCGGCUUUGACCGCAGCCUAUUUUUGGCACACGGAGGCCCCUUGCAAAGUCUCGCGGCAUUCCGAGUCCGGCGGACGAAGUUGGCGAGCCCCACCCCCCAAGGCUAUAGCCCACCCGUUUUUGUGGGCUUUUUCCGCUGGACGAACUUGGCGCCCCGGCUUUCGGGCAGUUAUUUUUGGGCGCGGCUUUGCCCGUGGCCUGUUUUUAGUACACGGAGGCCCCUCGCAAAGUCUCGCGGCAUUCCCAGUCCGGCGGACGAAGUGGGCCAGCCCCACCCCCCAAGCCUAUAGCCCGUCCGUUUUUGUGGCCUUUUUCCGCUGGACGAACUUGGCGCCCCGGCCUUCGGGCGGUUAUUUUUUGGCGUAGCUUUGCCCGCGGCCUAUUUUUGGCACACGGAGGAGCAUCACAAGGCCUCGCGCCAUUCCGAGUCCGGCGGACGAAGUCGGCCAGCCCCACCCCCCAAGGCUAUAGCCCACCCGUUAUUGUGGCCUUUUUCCGUUGGACGAACUUGCCGCCCCGGCCUUCGGGUGGUUAUUUUUAGGCGUGACUGUGCCCGCGGCCUAUUUUUGGCACACGGAGGUGCCUUGCAAAGUCUCGUGGCAUUCCGAGUCCGGCGGACGAAAUUGGCCAGCCCCACCUCCCAAGGCUAUAGCCCACCCGUUUUUGUGGCCUUUUUCCGCUGGAUGAACUUGGCGCCCCAGCCUUCGGGCUGUUAUUUUUUGGGCACGGCUUCGCCCGCGCCGUAUUUUUGGCACACGGAGGCCCCUUGCAAAGUCUCGCGGCAUUCCGAGUCCGGCUGACGAAGUUGGCCAGCCCCACCCCCCAAGGCUAUAGCCCACCCGUUUUUGUGGCCUUUUUCCUCUGGACGAACUUGGCCCCCCAGCCUUCGGGCGGUUAUUUUUUGGGCACGGCUUUACCCACGGUGUAUUUUUGGCAUAUGGUGGCCCCUCGCAAAGUCUCGCGGCAUUCCGAGUCCGGCGGACGAAGUUGGCCAGCCCCACCCCCCAAGGCUAUAGCCCACCCGUUUUUGUGGCCUUUUUCCGCUGGACGAACUUGGCGCCCCGGCCUUCGGGAGUUUAUUUUUGGGCGUGACUGUACCCGCGGCCUCUUUUUGGCACACGGAGUCGUCUCGCAAAGUCUCGCGCCAUUCCGAGUCCGGCGGACAAAGUGGGCCAGCCCCACCCCCCAAGGCUAUAGCCCAACCGUUUUUGUGGCCUUUUUCCGCUUGACGAACUUGGCGCCCCGGCCUUCGGGUGGUUAUUUUUAGGCGUGGCUGUGCCCACGGCCUAUUUUUGGCACACGGAGGUGCCUUGCAAAGUCUCGCGGCAUUCCGAGUCCGGCGGACGAAGUGGGCCAGCCCCACCCCCCAAGGCUAUAGCCCACCCGUUUUUGUGGCCUUUUUCCGCUGGACGAACUUGGCGCCCCGGCCUCCGGGCGGUUAUUUUUUGGCGCGGCUUUCCCCGCGGUCUAUUUUUGGCACACGGAGGCCCCUCGCAAGGUCUCGUCGCAUUCCGUGUCCGGCGGACGAGGUUGGCCAGCCCCACCCCCCAAGGCUAUAGCCCACCCGUUAUUGUGGCCUUUUUCCGCUGGACGAACUUGGCGCCCCGGCCUUCGGGCGGUUAUUUUUUGGCGCGGCUUUCCCCGCGGUCUAUUUUUGGCACACGGAGGCCCCUCGCAAGGUCUCGUCGCAUUCCGUGUCCGGCGGACGAGGUUGGCCAGCCCCACCCCCCAAGGCUAUAGCCCACCCGUUAUUGUGGCCUUUUUCCGUUGGACGAACUUGGCGCCCCGGCCUCCGGGCGGUUAUUUUUGGGCGCGGCUUUGCCCGCGGCCUAUUUUUGGCACACGGAGGCCCCUCACAAAGUCUCGCAGCAUUCCGAGUCCGGCGGACGAAGUUGGCCAGCCCCACCCCCCAAGGCUAUAGCCCACCCGUUUUUGUGGCCUUUUUCCGCUGGACGAACUUGGCGCCCCGGCCUUCGGGCGGUUAUUUUUUGGCGCGGCUUUCCCCACGGUCUAUUUUUGGCACAUGGAGGCCCCUCGUAAGGUCUCAUCGCAUUCCGUGUCCGGCGGACGAAGUUGGCCAGCCCCACCCCCCAAGGCUAUAGCCCACACGUUUUUGUGGCCUUUUUCCGCUGGACGAACUUGGCGCCCCGGCCUUCGGGCGGUUAUUUUUGGGCACGGCUUUGUCCGCGGCUUAUUUUUGGCACACGGAGGCCCCUCGCAAAGUCUCGAGGCAUUCCGAGUCCGGCGGACGAAGUGGGCCAGCCCCACCCCCAAAGGCUAUAGCCCACCCGUUUUUGUGGCCUUUUUCCGCUGGACGAACUUGGCGCCCCGGCCUUCGGGUGGUAAUCUUUGGGUACGGCUUUGUCCGCGACCUAUUUUUGGCACACGAAGGCCCCUCGCAAACUCUCGCGGUGUUCCGAGUCCGGCGGACGAAGUCGGCCAGCCCCACCCCCCAAGGCUAUAGCCCACCCGUUUUUGUGGCCUUUUUCCGGUGGACGAACUUGGCGCCCUGGCCUUCGGGCGGUUAUUUUUUGGACACUGCUUUGCCCGUGGCCUAUUUUUGGCACACGGAGGCCCCUCGUAAAGUCUCACGGCAUUCCGAGUCCGGCGGACUAAGUUGGCCAGCCCCACCCCCCAAGGCUAUAGCCCACCCGUUUUUGUGGCCUUUUUCCGCUGGACGAAGUUGGCGCCCCGGCCUUCGGGCGGUAAUUUUUUGGGCACGGCUUUGCCCGUGGCCUACUUUUGGCACAUGGAGGUCCCUCGCAAAGGCUCGCGGCAUUCCGAGUCCGGCGGACGAAGUCGGCCAGACCCACCCCCCAAGGCUAUAGCCCACCCGUUUUUGUGGCCUUUUUCCGCUGGACGAACCUGGCGCCCCGGCCUUCGGGCGGUUAUUUUUGGGCGCGACUUUGCCCGUGGCCUAUUUUUGGCACACGGAGGCCCCUCGUAAAGUCUUGCGGCAUUCCGAGUCUGGCGGAUGAAGUGGGCCAGCCCCACCCCCCAAGGCUACAGCCCACCCGUUUUUGUUGCCUUUUUCCGCUGGACGAACUUGGCGCCCCGGCCUUCGGCGGUUAUUUUUGUGCGCGGCUUUGCCCUUGGACUAUUUUUGGCACACGGAGGCCCCUCACAAACUCUCGCGCAAUUCCGAGUCCGGCGGACGAAGUUGGCCAGCCCCACCCCCAAGGCUAUACCCCACCCGCUUUUGUGGCCUUUUUCCGCAGGACGAACUUGGCGCCCCGGCCUUCGGGCGGUUAUUUUUGGGCGCGGCUUUGCCCGCAGCCUAUUUUUGUCACACGGAGGCCCCUUGCAAAGUCUCGCCGUGUCCGGCGGACGAAGUUGGAUAGCCCCACCCCCCAAGGCUAUAGCCCACCCGUUAUUGUGGCCUUUUUCCGUUGGACGAACUUGGCGCCCCGGCCUCCAGGCGGUUAUUUUUGGGCGCGGCUUUGCCCGCGGCCUAUUUUUGGCACACGGAGGCCCCUCACAAAGUCUCGCGGCAUUCCGAGUCCGGCGGACGAAGUUGUCCAGCCCCACCCCCCAAGGCUAUAGCCCACCCGUUUUUGUGGCCUUUUUCCGCUGGACGAACUUGGCGCCCCGGCCUUCGGGCGGUUAUUUUUUGGCGCGGCUUUGCCCGCGGUCUAUUUUUGGCACACGGAGGCCCCUCGCAAGGUCUCGUCGCAUUCCGUGUCCGGCGGACGAGGUUGGCCAGCCCCACCCCCCAAGGCUAUAGCCCACACGUUUUUGUGGCCUUUUUCCGCUGGACGAACUUGGCGCCCCGGCCUUCGGGCGGUUAUUUUUGGGCACGGCUUUGCCCGCCGCUUAUUUUUGGCACACGGAGGCCCCUCGCAAAGUCUCGAGGCAUUCCGAGUCCGGCGGACGAAGUGGGCCAGCCCCACCCCCAAAGGCUAUAGCCCACCCGUUUUUGUGGCCUUUUUCCGCUGGACGAACUUGGCGCCCCGGCCUUCGGGUGGUAAUUUUUGGGUACGGCUUUGUCCGCGACCUAUUUUUGGCACACGGAGGCCCCUCGCAAACUCUCGCGGUGUUCCGAGUCCGGCGGACGAAGUCGGCCAGCCCCACCCCCCAAGGCUAUAGCCCACCCGUUUUUGUGGCCUUUUUCCGGUGGACGAACUUGGCGCCCUGGCCUUCGGGCGGUUAUUUUUUGGACACUGCUUUGCCCGUGGCCUAUUUUUGGCACACGGAGGCCCCUCGCAAAGGCUCGUGGCAUUCCGAGUCCGGCGGACGAAGUCGGCCAGACCCACCCCCCAAGGCUAUAGCCCACCCGUUUUUGUGGCCUUUUUCCGCUGGACGAACCUGGCACCCCGGCCUUCGGGCGGUUAUUUUUGGGCGCGACUUUGCCCGCGGCCUAUUUUUGGCACACGGAGGCCCCUCGCAAAGUCUUGCGGCAUUCCGAGUCUGGCGGACGAAGUGGGCCAGCCCCACCCCCCAAGGCUAUAGCCCACCCGUUUUUGUGGCCUUUUUCCGCUGGACGAACUUGGCGCCCCGGCCUUCGGCGGUUAUUUUUGUGCGCGGCUUUGCCCUUGGACUAUUUUUGGCACACGGAGGCCCCUCACAAAGUCUCGCGCAAUUCCGAGUCCGGCGGACGAAGUUGGCCAGCCCCACCCCCAAGGCUAUACCCN